GGCUCAUCCUGCGUUAAAAGACAGGACAGGGGAUUCCAAACCAAAACAUGUGCCCAGUUCUGACCAGUGCCUCUGUGCUGCUCUGGAAGAGGAUGGGUGUGGGGAGAGUGAAACGAGAGAGAAAGCGGAUGUAUCACACCGAGUCAGGGAGGUGAAGACAGCUCCUUCAGCCACGAGGAUAUUCUCCCACCUUGGUGCAAGACAGCAAAGUCCAGACAGGAUCUGAGCCCGGGCCAGCAGGAAUCUUUCACUGGCUGCUGCCUUUGUGCUUUGGAGCCCUGCAGAAGGUGAACGUGUGUCUGCAUCACGUGAGGGCUGGAGUGAUGGGCUGAUGCCUAAGAAGCUGAGCUACGUUUCAGAAAGGAGGGCCUGCUGGUGAGAAGAUGACUUUAUCCAGGAACUCUCCACUGCUGAAGGAGCUGAAGGCCAAAGACUCUCAUCUGUCCCCAAAAAGCAGGAAGCACAGCCAUGGAUGAGAAAUGACCCAGCUAUCUGGAGCAGAAAUGGAAGCACCUCAGGAAACAUCUGUAGAGGCCUCCAGGACUGUAGGCACCAAGGGAAAUUCUGGAGGAGGCUCCAAAGUCCUGCACACAGCAGACAACCCUCAAAGUAUGGAAAAAAAGCCACCUUCUUGUGCCAAACCAAGCUGGGCUGGAUGGCCCCAUCCACGCUCCGUGGAACAGCCCUGGUCCAAUCCUGAUUCCUCAGAGGGGUUGGCACUGGCAGCUGGAUUAUCGUGGUGCCUUGAGAAAGAACUUCUGCACAGCAUUUUUCAUGUAGGCAAAAGCUGUUAGUGCUGAAAACCUUCCCAAAAAAGGAUUCCCCUGAGCUGGUGAAAUGCCUGACCUGAAGGUUGGCUGAGAAAUGGUUGCUUUAAAGAUCAGUAAUAUUUAUGAACAAAGUCCUGCUGACCUUGGGUUUGCUCCUGCACGGUCGUGUUGGAGCACACCGUGACUGCCGCCUUGACGUUCUGCCGAGCUGACAUCCCAACCGGUGUGACACUGAUGCCUUUGGGCAGAAAUCAGAGCCGGUUUGCUGCAUGGCUCUGUGCAGCCACGGUGCCUGUAGCGCCUCGGAGAGCCCCCAGUGCCCUGCUGGGGAAAUGGAGCGAGCACGUGGGCCCCAGAUGAACCCGGAGCGGAGCGCGGGCGUUAUCCGCAGCCGUCCCGCUGCCCGUUCCCGGUUUUAAAUGUCCACAUUGACAUGGGUUUAUCUCUUUUUUUUUUUCCCCCCUCUCCCUUUCCUCUCCCUUUUUGCCUUGCCUGCGAGAGGGUUGGUUUCCUGUUUCUCCCCCCGGCUGCAGAGUCCUUGGGGACCUGGGUUUCCGUGAGCUGGAAAAGGAGCGCGCAAGCGUCUGAUCAGCCCUUAUUAGUGUUGAGAAAGACCUAAUGGUUCCUGGCUUCUGGGACCAUUACCUGUCAUUUACUUUUAUUAAGUCGGUGAUGAGAAAGUUUAAAAUUAAAGGCUUUGUAAAUUGGAUUCCAGUUCUAAAGGGAGGCACCGACCAGGAAUUCAGUGCCAGAGCCUGCAGAUGGGCUGCUGGGAACAACACUGGGCUGGGGCGUUUGUGUUCAGCUGCUUUGGCAAAGGUCCUGUGCCAGGGCAUGGAGGGGAGGUAGUUUGGGCAAAGCCCUGGGGUAUCUAUCAGCUAUAUGAACCAUGUAAUCCUUCCUUUGCCAGGCUACUCGUGUCCAGACCUCCAGCUCCUGGUCAGGAGGAAGGGUGGUCUUCUGGUCGAGCCAUUACCCAGCCUGUGACUUCUGUUCCAGCUGAAAUGA